CAGAGUAGAAAUCUGUGCGUGAAGUGUUCUGCGGACGGGGAGUUGCCGCAGAAACGAAAGAGGAAAUCCUCUGCGGUACAGAUUUUGCAUCCCGCUGU
rnacentral:ncRNA from 1 species